rnacentral:rRNA from 1 species
GGGAAGGGGUGAAUCUGAUGCAGCGACGCCGCGUGAGGGAGAAGGUCUUCGGAUUGUAAACCUCUGUCUUUGGGGACGAAGAAGGUGACGGUACCCAAAGAGGAAGCCCGGCUAACUACAUGCCAGCGGCCGCGGUAAUACAUGCCCCGCGGUAAUAUAAUA